GCCAUAAAAACCAUCAAGUGAAGAACGCAAAAAUCUGGAUACUCACUCACAAGAAAAUGGGAACAAGAACAUGAAUGAUUAAGGAACUUGCUAGCUUCUGCUCAAGUGUAAAUGUCAACGUGGCCUGUAAAUACUGAAGUAUACAGCAGAAAACUAAGAGCUCUGACGACUAGGAAAAUAUCUUCAGCUUCGCCGAUGAUUGUUUGCUGGUUGAUGUUUCUAGCUAGAGUGCAGAGAAACCAUACUGAAUGUGGUUUAAAGCGCUUGAGUUUGUGAGCAAGGAACAAGAAACCACGUCAUGCAGUCAAGCUCAAACAAAUUGGUCUACCAACCAGUAGAUGGCGAGAGGACUCGACAGCGGGAUCAGUAUUAACAGGGAGCAAGAACAUGAAUGACUAAGGAAUUUGCUGGCUUCUGUUCAAGCGCAAAUGUACGAGUCAACGUAGCCUGUAAAUAUUGAAGUACACAGCAGAGCUCUGACGACUAGGAAAACAUCUUCAGCUUCGCUGGUGAUUGUUUGCUGGUUGAUGUUUCUAACUAGAGUGCAGAGAAACCCUACUGAAUGUAGUUUAAAGCACUUAAGUUUGUGAGCAAGGAACAAGAAACCACGUCAUGCAGUCAAACUCAAACAAAUUGGUCUACCAACCAGUAGAUGGCGAGAGGACUCGACAACGGGAUCAGUAUA